GAACAUUUUGAGGCUUUUUCCCUUUAAUGACAGAUUGAGCCACGGGGCCCCUCAGAGGUGUGGUGAAGCUGUUUAGUUUUGAACUUUACAUGCAGAGAUUUAAAGCAGCAAUCUGACAUGUGACAGGACAAGAGACGCUUCAGAAGGACCACACGGGGCGAUUAAUGGUUUGAUCUGAAUAUCAUAAAUAUUACAGUACCAAAUGACCUGUAGGGGCUAUUGUGAAGUUACAUCUGUCACAGAUUUGUUACGAUGCACAGUAACAGAAUGUGAAGUCAGUAACAUGCUGUGAGUUCAGUAACAGGCUGUGAGGUCAGUAACAAGGUGUGAGGUCAGUAUCAGACUGUGAGGUCAGUAACAUGCUGUGAGGUCAGUAACAAGGUGUGAGGUCAGUAUCAGGCUGUGAGGUCAGUAACAUGCUGUGAGGUCAGUAUCAGGCUGUGAGGUCAGUAAGAAGCUGUGAGGUCAGUAACAGGCUGUGAAGUCAGUAACAAGCUGUGAGGUCAGUAUCAGGCUGUGAGGUCAGUAACAUGCUGUGAGGUCAGUAACAGACUGUGAGGUCAGUAACAAGCUGUGAGGUCAGUAACAGACUGUGAGGUCAGUAACAUGCUGUGAGGUCAGUAACAUGCUGUGAGGUCAGUAACAAGCUGUGAGGUCAGUCACAUGCUGUGAGGUCAGUAACAGGCUGUGAGGUCAGUAACAUGCUGUGAGGUCAGUCACAGACUGUGAGGUCAGUAACAUGCUGUGAGGUCAGUAACAGGCUGUGAGGUCAGUAACAGACUGUGAGGUCAGUAACAGGCUGUGAGGUCAGUAACAGGCUGUGAGGUCAGUAACAGGUUGUGAGGUCAGUCACAGACUGUGAGGUCAGUAACAGGUUGUGAGGUCAGU